UUGAUUGAGGAUUUGAUCCUGGUCCAGGAUGAACGCUGGCGGUGUGGAUAAGGCAUGCAAGUCGAACGGUACCUGGUAGCAAUACCGGAGCUACCGUGGCGAACGAGUUAGUAACACCUUGGAAUCUACCCCCGAGACGAGCACAACCGGUCGAAAGAUCGACUAAUGCACGAUAGUCUCGUAAGAGUAAAGGAGCAAUCCGCUCGGGGAGGAGCCUAGGUCCUAUCAGCUUGUUGGUGAGGUAAUGGCUCACCAAGGCUAUGACGGGUAGGGGACGUGAGAGCGUGACCCCCAACGACGACACUGAGAUACGGGUCGUACACCUACGGGUGGCUGCAGUCGAGAAUAUUCGACAAUGGGCGCAAGCCUGAUCGAGCGACACCGCGUGCAGGAAGAAGGGCUUCGGCUUGUAAACUGCUUUUCCGAGGGAGGAACGUAAGUGACUGUACCUCGGGAAUAAGGGGCUGCAAACUUCGUGCCAGCAGCCGCGGUAAUACGAAGGCCUCAAGCGUUAUCCGGAUUUAUUGGGCGUAAAGGGUCUCCAGGUGGUUGUGUUAGUCGGGUGUUAAAUUUCGCUGCUUAACGGCGAAGCCGCAUUCGAAACGGCACAACUAGAGGAAUGGAGAGGGAGUAGGAACUCACGGUGUAGGGGUGAAAUCCGUUGAUAUCGUGGGGAACACCAAAGGCGAAGGCAAGCUCCUGGCCAUUUCCUGAC
rnacentral:rRNA from 1 species